GUGGGAAUAGGGAAGCCUGGCCUGGCCUGCCCUGCCACAGUGUUGAAAAAAACACUGAACUGUAGCACUGCCUGAGUAACCUGGUGUGAUACACCCACACAGGAGGAGAGCAGUUUCUUUCUCUUUAGAGAGCAGAAUCAAGGGAGAAAAGUAUCAAAAGUGCAGUGGGGCCAGACAGGAGCCUGUGCUUGAGCCGGGAGAAAUAAGAUUUAUUUUAGUCAGUAAAGUGAACAAACACCACCUGUGAACCACUCGGGAAGCUGACCUGAGCUAGAAGACAGAUGGAGGAACUCUUUCAGUGAACUGCAUGGGACUUUCAGAACAUAAGUAGAACUCAAAUGAAGACAAGAGUGGCUCUUUAUUACAUCUCUUUUUCACAGUAAAUGCAACUUCUGGAAAGUUCAGAGCCCGUAAGAGUGAGGCCUUUUCCAUGUAUGUUGGAAAGCAGGUUUUUGCCAGCAAAGUCAAACAGCAUGUGCCAAGGAGACAGUGCCUUCCCACUUUGUCCUUCAAGAUGUACUGUGCUGGAUUUCCUGCACAUGGAUGACAGUUAAAAAUAAAGUCAAGAAUUAUGUACUA